AGGGUUUGAUUCUGGCUCAGAACGAACGCUGGCGGCAGGCUUAACACAUGCAAGUCGAACGGAGUAUAUAUGGCUUGCCAUAUAUACCAGUGGCGCACGGGUGAGUAACGCGUGGGGAUCUGUCUUUGAUGUAUCGGAUAGCUUUUGGAAACGAAAGGUAAUACGGUAUGAGCCCUGAGGGGGAAAGGAGUAAUCCGCAUUAAGAGGAACCCGCGUUAGAUUAGGCAGUUGGUGGGGUAACGGCCUACCAAACCGACGAUCUAUAGCCGGUCUGAGAGGAUGAUCGGCCACAUUGGGACUGAGACACGGCCCAA
rnacentral:rRNA from 1 species